UGCAAGUCGAGCGGACAGAUGGGAGCUUGCUCCCUGAUGUUAGCGGCGGACGGGUGAGUAACACGUGGGUAACCUGCCUGUAAGACUGGGAUAACUCCGGGAAACCGGGGCUAAUACCGGAUGGUUGUUUGAACCGCAUGGUUCAGACAUAAAAGGUGGCUUCGGCUACCACUUACAGAUGGACCCGCGGCGCAUUAGCUAGUUGGUGAGGUAACGGCUCACCAAGGCAACGAUGCGUAGCCGACCUGAGAGGGUGAUCGGCCACACUGGGACUGAGACACGGCCCAAACUCCUACGGGAGGCAGCAGUAGGGAAUCUUCCGCAAUGGACGAAAGUCUGACGGAGCAACGCCGCGUGAGUGAUGAAGGUUUUCGGAUCGUAAAGCUCUGUUGUUAGGGAAGAACAAGUGCCGUUCGAAUAGGGCGGCUCCUUGACGGUACCUAACCAGAAAGCCACGGCUAACUACGUGCCAUCAGCCGCGGUAAUACGUAAGUGGCAAGCGUUGUCCGGAAUUAUUGGGCGUAAAGGGCUCGCAGGCGGUUUCUUAAGUCUGAUGUGAAA
rnacentral:rRNA from 1 species